rnacentral:rRNA from 1 species
UUGAAAGGGAAACGAUUGAAGUCAGUCGUUCCUUCGGGUAAUCAGCCUUUUGGGUGUGAUUUUGUGGAGCGUGAGGAGUUAAACGCCUUCAUGCCUGCAUAUUCGUGCACUUUAGGUGUACUUGCCCGUAUGGUUGGUUAACAUCAAUUUUGGUGGUCAUAAAAUGACUGGAGGAAUGUAGCUUCGAUCUUGUAUUGAAGUGUUAUAGCCUUCGGUAGAUGUGAUGAUCGAGAUUGAGGAUUGCAACGGAUACCUUCGGGGCUACCUGUCUGGUCUCUGAUCGUUGCUCUGGUGCCGAAAGCUUGCUUACGGUUAUCAAAGUCGAUGGUCAAUAGGUUAGAAUGGGUUAAAUUCGUUAAGGAUGUUGACGUA